rnacentral:rRNA from 1 species
CCCAGGUCAGGCGGGGCUACCCGCUG